rnacentral:tRNA from 2 species
GGCCCUGUCGUCUAGCGGUUUAGGACGUCGCCUUCUCAGGGCGAAGACCGGGGGUUCGAAUCCCCCCAGGGUCACCA